GNGUACCAACCUGCCCCAUGCUCCAGAAUAGCUCUUGGAAACGGGUGGUAAUGCUGGAUGCUCCAACUUGACGCAUGUCUUGUUGGGAAAGUGUUUAGUGGCAUGGGAUGGGGUCGCGUCCUAUCAGCUUGUAGGCGGGGUAAUGGCCCACCUAGGCUUCGACGGGUAGCCGGCCUGAGAGGGCGGACGGCCACAUUGGGACUGAGAUACGGCCCAGACUCCUACGGGAGGCAGCAGGG
rnacentral:rRNA from 1 species